rnacentral:rRNA from 1 species
AGUGAACGCUGGCGGUAGGCCUAACACAUGCAAGUCGAACGGCAGCACAGUAAGAGCUUGCUCUUACGGGUGGCGAGUGGCGGACGGGUGAGGAAUACAUCGGAAUCUACUUUUUCGUGGGGGAUAACGUAGGGACACUUACGCUAAUACCGCAUACGACCUACGGGUGAAAGCAGAGGUUCUUCGGACUUUGCGCGAUUGAAAGAGCCGAUGUCGGAUUAGCUAGUUGGCGGGGUAAAGGCCCACCAAGGCGACGAUCCGUGGCAGGUCUGAGAGGAUGAUCAGCCACACUGGAACUGAGACACGGUCCAGACUCCUACGGGAGGCAGCAGUAGGGAAUCUUGGACAAUGGGCGCAAGCCUGAUCCAGCAACACCGCGUGGGUGAAGAAGGCCUUCGGGUCGUAAAGCCCUUUUGUUGGGAAAGAAAAUCAGCGGGUUAAUCCCCCGCUAUUCUGACGGCACCCAAAGAAUAAGCACCGGCUAACUUCGUG